CAGACUCCUACGGGAGGCAGCAGUGGGGAAUAUNGCACAAUGGGCGAAAGCCUGAUGCAGCCAUGCCGCGUGNAGGAAGAAGGCCUUCGGGUUGUAAAGUACUUUCAGUUGUGAGGAAGGGGGUAGCGUUAAUAGCGCUAUCUCUUGNCGUUAGCAACAGAAGAAGCACCGGCUAACUCCGUGCCAGCAGCCGCGGUAAUACGGAGGGUGCGAGCGUUAAUCGGAAUUACUGGGCGUAAAGCGCAUGCAGGUGGUUCAUUAAGUCAGAUGUGAAAGCCCGGGGCUCAACCUCGGAACUGCAUUUGAAACUGGUGAACUAGAGUACUGUAGAGGGGGGUAGAAUUUCAGGUGUAGCGGUGAAAUGCGUAGAGAUCUGAAGGAAUACCAGUGGCGAAGGCGGCCCCCUGGACAGAGACUGACACUCAGAUGCGAAAGCGUGGGGAGCAAACAGGAUUAGAUACCCUGGUAGUCCACGCCGUAAACGAUGUCUACUUGGAGGUUGUGGCCUUGAGCCGUGGCUUUCGGAGCUAACGCGUUAAGUAGACCGCCUGGGGAGUACGGUCGCAAGAUUAAAACUCAAAUGAAUUGACGGGGGCCCGCACAA
rnacentral:rRNA from 1 species